UACGUAGGAUCCGAGCAUUAUCCGGAGUGACUGGGCGUAAAGAGUUGCGUAGGUGGCGUCUUAAGUAGAUAGUGAAAUCUGGUGGCUCAACCAUUCAGACCGUUAUCUAAGCUGGGAUGCUCGAGAGCGUCAUGGGUAACUGGAAUUUCUAGUGUAGGAGUAAAAUCCGUAGAUAUUAGAAGGAACACCGAUAAAGUAGGCAGGUUACUGGGGCGUUUCUGACACUAAGGCACGAAAGCGUAGGGAGCAA
rnacentral:rRNA from 1 species